UAUCAAGUAGACUUAAAAUACAAUAAACUCAGCUUAAAUGAAAAGUUUUCUACAAUUAGCUGAACCCUUAUAAAAAGUCUUUAUGGUUGCAUAGUUAUGUUGAUCAAAAAGCUCAGAGUUUUCGUUUAUAUAAGACCCGUAAUAAAUAAUUUAUGAAAAAUGGUUGACGAAUAGAUUGUUAAUGCUAACCUUGCAGCCGAAACCUUGUACUGUAGUAAGUUGAUUUGUGCAACACCGCUUUUUUGAAAAUAAAAGUCAAAAAGUUAAAAAAGGUUUUAAAAAAUUGCCGUAUUGUCCAGUACAAUAAAAUGUAAAACAACCCUGUAUGUUUACUCAUAAAUUAUUUUCCCUACCUUUGUUAUAUUUUUGUGUAUUUGAAAAAACUGAAGGCUAGCUUUAAUCCUACGUUGGUCAGACGAGUUCUGAAAUGAGGUCAAAGAGUUCGACAU